GGAGCGAGCGCCCGAGCGGGGAGGGGAUCAGAGGCCGCCCCCGGCUCCUCCCGGCCCCGCCUCUCGCUCCUGUUCGACCGUCGCGGAGCGCAGCCAGCCCCGCUCCGGCCCGAGACGGCCCUGCGGACCGCGGGAACAAACGCCAGCCUGGUCCGGAUACAGAAACUUGUCAACUGAUGGGAACAAAGAACUGAGAGAUUUGGCUUUACCAGGACACUAAACACGAUU